GGGAGGAGGGGAAGUCUCCAGCUUCGUGGACAUUGUUCCAGGUAACGACGUCAAAGUCAGGGAACAAGGGGAACGACUCAUUAUCGGUCAUGGCCGCAGACUUGGUGGCCAGACAUGUGGACUCGGGGGCGUCUACAUGGAAGUGUCCACGGACUGCUGGCCCGUAACAUCUAUGUGACAUCGGCCCAUGACAAAUACCGCUAGACGGGCAAUUAAGAGCUAGUCUGCCAGGUCCCUCCCCCGUACAGGCCACCGUACGGUACAAGGACCUAGAGCUAGGGUUUUGCUAGCUUCGAAGGAAGGGAGAGGGGGAUGGUCAGGUGGGCGAGCUGGGGCGCCUGGAUCCCAAGCGCGGCGGUCGGCCGCUGGGGCGGUGCAGGGCACGCGGCCACUGGUGCGGGGCAGGGCAGGCGGCGACGGGGCAUGGCAGCGGCCGCUGGGCAGCGCAGGCGGCGGCGGGGCAUGGCAGCGGGCGGGGCGGGGCAUGGCAGCGGGCGGGGCGGGGCAGUCAAAGACAGUUCUACCCCAACAGAAGCCGGCGACUCUAGCUGCCCCGCGUCGACACGUAGAAGCUGGACUCCUCUCCCGUCGUCCUCCCCGUCCUCGAGCUGUUCUAGGAGAAGAAGGUGGGCCGACUGACGGGGUAGGACGAGGUCGAGAGGCAGUAACCGGAGACGCUUCCUUAGUAGUGAAAGUGUUCUUAUAAAAGAGGUCUUCUACUGACACUCCACUAUCUUAGACUAUUUGUGACGGUGCAAAAAAUGGUUCGACUCGGUCUAUAAACCUACCAAGACCACCACGUCUUUUAAUUCCUGUUACUUAGUUGAAACGCGAAACCACGUAACGUUCCUUAUGAUUUUCUUAGAGUAAGUGAAAAGCGUUACAAAGUACCUGGUUAAGCUUGAAAUGAACUGUCUGUUGGUUCACGACUUAAACGGGCACCAGUGGAGGUAUGUAAACAGUGUCUAAUAAACUCGCUAAAAUCACAACCGUUUUUCGAUGUUAACGGUUGGAUGGCACUAUCGGAUUGCCUCGCCCCUUGUCAGGUUUACGAUUGUCAGAGUGCUCUUCACCGUGAACUUCAAGUCAGUGAGUGGUGUCAAGAACCCAGUACAGAAGCUUUGCAUUAGACGGUUAGUUAACAUAAUAAACUCCUGGAGAACCACAGAUGUUGUGAAGGGGACCUACUAUGCAAUUUGGAUAUGUGAAUACGUUAGGACGCCAACUGAGGAUCACGAAAUAGAAGGUUGCCCUUAAGUACCAGGAUAAACGCCUUUCCCCCAAUACAAUUACGACUGUGGUGAAAUUCAAGCCGUUUACCUCGUCGACGUCGUCUUUCCAUGUUAUCAGCUAGAGCACUGUGAAGAGGACCACCUGUUUUAGUCUACGUGGUAUUAAAGUCCGGAGAAGUCGCACUCUUUAACAGGUUCCCUUUUCUACCAAAACAACGACGACUGAAACGUUGAUGUCUUUAAGCACCACGACAUGGCAACUUAGGUUAUGACACCAAGGUAGUCCGUCUCCUCGCGUACAUAAAUACACAAAUAGUCGUAUUCUUGGAAUGAUAGAACGAUCACUAAGGUCGAAGGAGUGACUAUUUACCUCUUCUCCCAUAACGAGUACACUUCUCCGUAGAAGAACUUUUACGGAGUGUCUUGUAACAGUGACAACUUGUUUUUAAUAGUGCUCCUACCCCUCCUCUUUUACGGAUAGUACAGCCACCUAUGGCAAUAUAUGAGAGACUAGGUUUGUCUUUUCAUAGUUCUCGGAGGGGUGGACCCUUUCAGUAGUGGGACAGUUUCCUAAGAGAUGAACGGGAGUUGUCCGAUUCUCCUCUUUAUCUAGAUCUCUUCAGUUCUCGAUUCUCCUCACUGGGAUGGGUACUGUUCCUAAUACUUCAUACGUAGUCUCGCUUUUUAUUACGUACCUAAUAACGAUUUUAAAGAGCUCCUUUUCUUGAGAUAUACCGAUAUCUCUUCCCGCCGCUUUGUGAAGAGAUACGUAGAUGUCGACAACUCUUUAAAUCGUUGUCCAUGACGCUCCCUCGUAAGAGACGCCUGAUUUUCGUGGUCGUGGUCGUACUAAGGGUGCUAGGUCAGGUCGUGACGUGUACCAACAGUUGACCUAGUGAGGGAUUACACACAUUAACUACAGCUAGAGUGAGUACGUUAUUGACCUAGGUAUGGUCAACAUGUCGACGGGAAACCUUAUUUUAAUACGUCUCGUCCUUGGUCGUACAAGACGGAGAUCCAAGACGCCGGAAUACCCUAUGUCAUGAAUCCUUGUAAGAGUAAAGAUAGACUACAAUUUUUUUCUUCUAGUAAAGCUAGACAUUUACGGCUGCCUCCUGACGAUUGAGCAUAUACACAAUGCCCGGUCAAGAGAACGCGAACAUCUACCGAAUGGAACCUUUAAUUCGGAGGAAGUCUUUUUCUUUUGAACCUUUAAUUCCGGUUCGAACUUUCUUGAACAGAAAAGUCCCAUUUUCUUUAUUGAAUAAAAACCCCAACCCGAAUUGAAUGCUG
rnacentral:rRNA from 1 species